UCCAGAGGAAAAAGGUGGUUGUGUGAGAGAGGGUUUGCAGAGAGUGGUUCCCACCAGCAGACUGGUGAGAAGCUGCCAGACAAACAAAUACUCCAAAAAGGGAGAAACAGGAUAGGAGGCAAGGGAAGACUACAGAGUCUUUAUAUAAAAUCUUCUAAGGUCUAAUCCACAGUGCGAGGAAGUCCAAAGAGAGUUGUUCCAUUGACUUCAGUAGUUUUUUGCAUCAAGCCCUAAAAGAAGACCUUUUAAGGCCUACUGAAGGAGAGACAGACAAAACACCAGAGAGGAGAAAAACCACAUCGGGCUUAGAAAGUUGGACUCAAACAGGCCUACUGAUUUAGAGCCUGAUCCUGCACCACUGGGGGAAGUUGGACAGUGUUAUUCUCUAAACACAGCCCAUCCAUCAUUCUAAGGCCCUGGUGGCUACUGUAUGUAGUUAUUAAAAUAUGAUUAAUCAUAAAGGCAGGACACUUGAUUCUGAAGGCAGCUGAAUGUUCCUGCUGUUCUUCUGGCCAUAAAACGUCAGUAACUUUGUGAAAAAUGUGACUCUCUUUCCCCUCCUGGACCGUGUUAUAAUAAAUGUAAA